CCUACGGGAGGCAGCAGUGAGGAAUAUUGGUCAAUGGUCGGGAGACUGAACCAGCCAAGCCGCGUGAGGGAUGAAGGUACAGAGUAUCGUAAACCUCUUUUGUCAGGGAACAAAGGCGGGGACGUGUCCCCGGAUGAGUGUACCUGAAGAAAAAGCAUCGGCUAACUCCGUGCCAGCAGCCGCGGUAAUACGGAGGAUGCGAGCGUUAUCCGGAUUUAUUGGGGUGAAAGGGUGCGCAGGCGGUCUGUUAAGUCAGCGGUAAAAGCCCGGGGCUCACCCCCGGCCCGACGUUGAAACUGGCAGUCUCGAGUUGGAGAGAAGUAUGCGGAAUGCGCGGUGUAGCGGUGAAAUGCAUAGAUAUCGCGCAGAACUCCGAUUGCGAAGGCAGCAUGCCGGCUCCACACUGACGCUGAGGCACGAAAGCGUGGGUAUCGAACAGGAUUAGAUACCCGUGUAGUC
rnacentral:rRNA from 1 species